AUUGAACGCUGGCGGCAGGCCUAACACAUGCAAGUCGAACGGUAACAGGAAACAGCUUGCUGUUUCGCUGACGAGUGGCGGACGGGUGAGUAAUGUCUGGGAAACUGCCUGAUGGAGGGGGAUAACUACUGGAAACGGUAGCUAAUACCGCAUAACGUCGCAAGACCAAAGAGGGGGACCUUCGGGCCUCUUGCCAUCGGAUGUGCCCAGAUGGGAUUAGCUAGUAGGUGGGGUAACGGCUCACCUAGGCGACGAUCCCUAGCUGGUCUGAGAGGAUGACCAGCCACACUGGAACUGAGACACGGUCCAGACUCCUACGGGAGGCAGCAGUGGGGAAUAUUGCACAAUGGGCGCAAGCCUGAUGCAGCCAUGCCGCGCGUAUGAAGAAGGCCUUCGGGUUGUAAAGUACUUUCAGCGGGGAGGAAGGGAGUAAAGUUAAUACCUUUACUCAUGGACGUUACCCGCAGAAGAAACACCGGCUAACUCCGU
rnacentral:rRNA from 1 species